UACGAAGGGUGCAAGCGUUACUCGGAAUUACUGGGCGUAAAGCGUGCGUAGGCGGUUUGUUAAGUCCGCUGUGAAAGCCCUGGGCUCAACCUGGGAAUUGCAGUGGAUACUGGCAAGCUAGAGUGCGGUAGAGGAUGGUGGAAUUCCCGGUGUAGCGGCGAAAUGCGUAGAGAUCGGGAGGAACACCUGUGGCGAAGGCGGCCCCCUGGUUGGAUACUGACGCUGAUACGCGAAAGCGUGGGGAGCAAACAGG
rnacentral:rRNA from 1 species